rnacentral:rRNA from 1 species
CGGGUGCGUAACACGUGAGCAACCUACCGAACUGUGGGGGAUAGCCGGCCUAACGGCCGAGUAAUACCGCAUACGCUUUCAGUGAGGCAUUUCAUUGAAAGGAAACCUACGGGACAGAUCGAGGGGCUCGCGGCCUAUCAGCUAGUUGGCGAGGUAACGGCUCACCAAGGCAACGACGGGUAGCUGGUCUGAGAGGAUGGCCAGCCACAUUGGGACUGAGAUACGGCCCAG